UCAAUAUGUAUAUGUAAUAUGUGUCCUAGAAACCAUGGUAGAUCUGGUCACCCUAUGUAGGGUAGGACACUGACAAAUAGGAUCCAUGACUAUACUCUCAUGCAGCCACUCACAUGAACAUGCUAUAUCUGAAAGAUAUUAAAACAUAGAGCCUCGUAGAGUUUAUCUUCACCUUAAAAAUAGGACAAUUCUUAAGCCCAUCACUGC